UAGGGAAUAUUGCGCAAUGGGCGAAAGCCUGACGCAGCAACGCCGCGUGAGUGAUGAAGGCCUUCGGGUUGUAAAACUCUGUCAGAUGGGAAGAACCCUGACCGAUUUAUAAGAUCGGACAGCUGACGGUACCAUCAGAGGAAGCUCCGGCUAACUCCGUGCCAGCAGCCGCGGUAAUACGGAGGGAGCUAGCGUUGUUCGGAAUUACUGGGCGUAAAGGGCGCGUAGGCGGUGGUGUAAGUCAGAUGUGAAAACCAUCGGCUUAACCGAUUGGAUUGCAUUUGAUACUGCAUCACUUGAGUUCAGUAGAGGAGAGUGGAAUUCCCAGUGUAGCGGUGGAAUGCGUAGAUAUUGGGAAGAACACCAGUGGCGAAGGCGGCUCUCUGGACUGACACUGACGCUGAGGCGCGAAAGCUAGGGGAGCGAACAG
rnacentral:rRNA from 1 species